rnacentral:lncRNA from 1 species
CACAGAUUCAGAGUGAGAGAGGGAAAAGCAGACUCCCCGCAGAGUAGGGACCAGAUGCAGGGUUCCAUCCCAGGACCCUAGGAUCACGACCUGAGCCGAAGGCAGACGCUUAACCAUCUGAGCCAUCCAGGCACCCUCAAACGGUGUUUUUGAAAUUGUUUCUUGUAUGUCAUUUAUAUCUUAAAGCUGUUAAAGAAAGAAAAAAAAAAGACACUAAGGUUAAUGUGCCUGACAGGUCUGAGGGCUCGAGUGGGUUGCGCAUUCAGAUUUCGCUGGCUAGACGAAGCGGGUGACAGCCUCCUGGAGGGACCUGGAUCCCACGCGGGCACCGGUGAGGACGAGAGACAGGUCCAUAGGUCAUUACUCCAGGGGGUACUAGCCUGCGUGGGGCGGCCACUAAGGAAGUGAGCUCAGCUGCGCAUGCGUCCGGCCCGGCCAGUCGAAAGACAGUCAUCCGUCUUUUGUUUUUCAAAAUUAACAAAAUAUGCCUUAAUAUUUGCCCGGAAGAGUGUGAAACAUUCACUCCUGGCCUCUCUUUCACUUGGUUUAUUCUUGUUUGGACGAACGAAGGGGAAGAGGCCGUGGGUCGAGCCCGGCAUCGACGAAGACAGCCAUGCCGGUCAGGCCCCCAACCGCACGCUGCUAUAAAUAGCUGGGCCCCGCCAUCGCCGCUCUUUUUGUGCGACGCUCUGACUCCUUCAGUUUGGGCAUGUUGCGGUGCCGCUGGGAGCAGCUGGGGCCCCCUCCCCUACACCAAGGGGAGGCGGCGGCCCCGGCGUCCUGCGCUGUCUUCGCACGGCUUCCUGCGUGCCCCUGGUCCUCGCAGGCUGGACCGCAGCACCACGAGGGUGUUUUAAGAUGUCCGCCGGUGCGUUACCGUUGAAUGAACCAUGAUUAUUCUGGAAGCCCUUUCAGAUGAG